rnacentral:lncRNA from 1 species
AUCACAUGUGCUAUACAUGCUGUUGAUGAAACUGCUAAAGGGGCUGAAUGUGACUGACGUCUUUGGAAGGAUGAGACUUAGCGUGCCUGUACAGUUGUGUCCAAAUGCUGUCCUCAUCUCCCAAUGAAAAGGGUUUUUCCUUAAGCCUCACAACAAUUUACAGCAUUGCCAGCAGCAUUCAGUACAUUCAGAACAGGAUAAUUUCACCCGCAGCUGAACUAGGGCCAUGCCUGGGACAGACAGAGAAUGGCCUUCCAGCAGACAUGCCAAGAAGCAAGCCAGGGUCAGUGAGUGAAGAGGAGGGCAGGCCCAUUUGAAGCAACACAGUUUAUGUAAGUGUGAUCUAACUGCUUUCACUGGAAAUGGGUCAGACUCCAGUUGAGAGAACCAGGGGCCUGAAUGACCCCAGCAAAAUCACUGUGGCAAUUCUUUCAAUCACCUCUGAGAAUAUGGCCCUGUGACGACAUAAUGACGUUUGGAUUAAUUCCAGUCGGCUGUGUUUUCCCCUCCUUUCUUGCCUCCCCGUAGUUGAUUUGCCAAAUUUUUUUUGUUUGCUUAAAUACGCGGAACUAAACAGGAUACAUUAUAUGACAGUCUGUGAUAAAUUUACCACUGGGAAUAGGGAAAAAGUAUGGGAUAAAGAAAUAGGUAUUUUUCGCCUCUCACAGCUGUGAUUCAGUUCUGACUCAAAAGGAAGUGUGCCACCUACUGAAUCACAGAAACCACUUCCUGUGGCUGUUUGGUUUAUUCUGGAGGAGCAUCAGGCCAAGUGCUGCCCUGCCCUGACCCUGACUGGCUCUUCAGAGCCAAGGCAUUCACAGCUUGAGGUGGUUUGGCCUCAGACUCUUGAGAACAUUGCAUAUUAAAUUACAAGUGUUUCGUUUCCUAGCAAGGAGUCUUUAGCAACAUGAAAACGAACGUGUGUUAUUUGCAAACCAAGUAUAUCAUUACUGAACCUGAAUAUCCUUACUUUUUCAUAAGGUACGUAUUCCGGAUGACCACUCUUAAGAUCUGAAUGUACACUGGUUCUGUUUUUCCUGAGGGGAACUUGGGCAGUCUGCAGGGUGGCAUUUACCAGCUGAGGGACUUCAAGAGCACCCUUUAAUCAGUGUGGCAGCACUCAACUUGUAUUCACUCACUCAGAGUAUUUUUGAGCAUGUACUUAUUGCCAUGUGCUGUGCUAGGUAGGGGUAGAGGGUACAGUGGUGAACAAGACCCCACAGCUCCUGACCUCAUGGCUCAUGUGUUCUACACCAUAAGGGAAUCAAGCUGUGUCUCCCGGGGCAGGGGCCUUCCUCUGUUCACCAUGCAGCCCCAGCAUCUAGCACCUGGCGUUGCAUAAAGGAGGCUCUAAAUCAAGCUUGUCCAACCCAAGGCCCACGGGCCACAUGUGGCCCAGGAUGGCUUUGAAUGCAGCCAAACACAAAUUUGUAAACUUUCUUAAAACAUUAUAAGAUUUGUGUGUAUGUGUUUUAGUCCAUCAGCUAUUGUUAGUGUUCAUGUAUUUUAUGUGUGGCCCAAGACAAUUCUUCUAUGUGGCCCAAGGAAACCAAAGAUUGAACACUCCUGCUCUAAAUACUUGUUUGUUGAAUAGAUACAUGAAAAGAAAGAAGGAGAGAAGGAAGAAAGGAGGGCGGAAGGAAAGGAAGAAGGGAGAGAAGAAGAGAAGAAAGAAGCAGAGAAAGGAAGAGAAAAGAAAUUACGGCCAGUGCGGUGGCUCACGCCUGUAAUCCUAGCACUUUGGGAGGCCUAAGCGGGCUGAUCACCUGAGGUCAGGAGUUCGUAAGCCAGCCUGGCCAACAUGGUGAAACCCUAUCUCUACUAAAAAUACAAAAAUCAGCAGGGCAUGGUGGUGCGUGCCUGUAAUCCCAGCUACCUGGGAGGCUGAGGUAGGAGAAUCGCUGGAACCCGAGAGGCGGAGGCUGCAGUGAGUUGAGAUCAUGUCACUGCACUCCAGGCUGGGCAACAGAGUGAGACUCUGUCUCAGAAAAAAAAAAAAAGAAAGAAAGAAAGAAAGAAAGUUACCAUUAGUUUUUUGUUGUAUUUGCAAGCAAAGACAAAAGCACCAAGGUACUUGUUUCCUUCUGUAAUUAGAGUUUCAAAUAGACUAAAAGUUUCUGCUCUUAGGUGGGUCUAGAGACUCUCCAGUACCUCAGGACCUCAGGACACAUGGGGUCUCUUGGUUGUUUUCUUUUCAUUGUUGUUGUUUAUUUUAUUUUUGUUUUUAUUUUUUAACUUUAAAACAAUUUUUUGUAGAUGAAUAUGCUUACAUAUGUUUGGGGGUUUUUUUGAGACAGGGUCUUGCUCUGUUGCCCAGGCUGGAGAGCGGUGGUUUAACCACAGCUCACUGCAGCCUCGACCUCCCAAGGUAGGGACUGCAGGUGUGUACACUGGGGUGCACCACCACACCCAGCUAAUUUUUAAAUUUUUUUUUGUAGAUAUUGUCUCACUCUGUUGGCCAGACUGGUCUUGAAAUCCUGGGCUCGAGCAAUUCUCCUGCCUCGGCCUCGUAACGCGUUAGGAUUACAAGCGUGAACACCGCACCUGGCCAGCAUGUGGUCUCUUAACCAGAGGAGGCCUCUUCUGAACUAGGUAGAGGUCCUGAGAAUUGAUUCUGAGAGUAAAAGGCUCUUUGUUCUCCUCAGAGUAGAUUAGAAUCCCUAAUGAUAGAGCAUCUAUUAUUCCUCUAGUGGUCCAUGCCCAACAGAUUCAUCCAAGAAUAGAUGAAGAUCUUUGUAAUGUUGUGCAAGUAAUCUAAUCACCCCACAGAAGAGCUGUGACUUAAAUUAUCCCAGAGUCGGCCCACCUGUUUUCAUAAAGAUCAAUGUAACUUGUAAAUUUCUUCAGUUCUCCUCACCUAUCAUCAUUUGACUAACAAAACCCAGAAAACUAGGCUAGUUAUGGUGGCCUAUGCAUAUAAUCCCAACUCUUUGAGAGGCCAGGGUGGGUGGAUUGCUUGAGUCCAGGAAUUCGAGACCAGCCUGGGCAACAAAGGGAGACCCUGCCUAUAUCCCAGCUAUGCAGGAGGCGAGGCCAGAGGAUUGCCUGAGCCUCAGAGGUUGAGGCUGUAGUGAGCCAUGAUUGCCCCACUACACUCCAGCCUGGAUGACAGAGUGAGACCCUGCCUUAAAAAUAAUAAUAAUAGUAAUAAUAUUUCAUAAAGAUACAGGAAACUAGAUUAUAAUUGACAUUUUCAAAGUGAAAUACUGUCUAGAAUGGUGCUUGGCCAACAGUAAGCUUUUUGUAAGUGGAAGUCAUUACUACUACUAUUUCUUUCAUUAUUAUUACCAUUACUACUUUUUUUUACAAAAAAAAAACCCUGGACAACACACUGAAACCAUUACUACUUCUACUACUAUAACUUAGGUUGCACCUGAUAGAGCCAGCAAUUUUUCCAAGGUAUGACAAUGGCCAUAUGUUUAAUGAUAUAAUUCUAUGGCUCAGUGUAUCUCAGCCUUUUUAAACCCUGCUCUUCUUUUGACAAUUGUAAAAAUCUUAAACUGACCUCCAGUUGAAAUCCUCUGUCAAGAAGAUAUUGUCGGCCAGGGGCGGUGGCUCACACCUGUAAUCCCAGCACUUUUGGAGGCCGAGGUGGGAGGAUCACUUGAGGUUAGGAGUUCAAGACCAGCCUGGCCAACAUAGUGAAACCCCAUCUCUACUAAAAAUACAAAAAUUAGGCAGGCAUGGUGGUGUGUGCCUGUAAUCCCAGCUACUCAGGAGGCUGAGGUAGGAGAAUUGCUUGAACCUGGCAGGGCAGAGGUUGCAGCAAGCCGAGAUCACGCCACUGCUCUCCAGCCUGGGUGAGACUGUCUCAAAAAAAAAAAAAAAAAAGAAAGAAAGUAAGAAAAAGAAGAAAUCCCAAUCUCUUCUUUUAUGUGGAUUCUUCCUCACUUGAAUAAUACUUUUCUUCCCCAGUAUUCUCCAUAUUAUCCCAGAGUCAGCCCCUCUGUUUUUGUAAAGAUCUACGUAACCUCCUCUAAGUUUCCCAGUUCUCCUCACCUAUCAUAUCAUUUGGCUCAACAAAGGGCAGGAAGCUAGAUUCUAAUUGAUAUUUUGAGGCCGGGAGCAGUGGCUCAUGCCUGUAAUCACAGCACUUUGGGAGGCUGAGGCGGGCAGAUCACUGGAGGUCAGGAGUUCGAGACCAGCCUGGCCAAUAUGGUGAAACCUCGUCUCUACUAAAAAUACAAAAAAUUAGCCAGGCUUGGUGGCUUGUACCUGUAAUCCCAGCUACUCAGGAGGCUGAGGCAGGAGAAUAGCUUAAACCUGGGAGGAAGAGGUUGCAGUGAGCCGAGAUUGCUCAAUUGCACCCCAGCCUGGGUGACAGAGCAAAACUCCAUCUC